UGGCUUUGCCAGGGGCAGGGGCUGUUACUCACACCCGCUGGUCUGGGUUCAGAUCAGUUCUGUUCUCUGGUCUCCCAAGGCCCUUGAUUUAUAGGGUCCCCGCCGACGGAAGCUUUCCCCCUGUUAGCGGGUCUCCACUGAAUCAGCGGCAGGAGUCCUGGAUGAACCCCUGGUCGUGCAGCCCCUACCCCGCUCCUUCCCGACCCGUGCGGCAGCGAUCGCAGACUCUAGGGGAGGGGGCGAUGUUCUCUCCUACCCUUCCGGCGCCUCCGAAGGUGUAAGCAAGGUCUUCCAGAUUGGGGAUUUGUCUUCACCAAGCUGCUGGAGAGUCCUGCCUCUCAGAUUAAAACCGACCGAUAAAAGAGAAGUAUCAGACAGCAGUGACUGAAUUUCUUUUCUUGAGCCUCACAGAUCAUCUCCCUCAGCAGAUUGUCCUCUUUGCCAUGCUUCUCCUUGUCUAUCUUGUCACAUUGGGGAGUAACAUGGGGAUGAUCACGUUCGGAUUGAUCCCAGACUUCACACGCCUACAUACCUUUUCUUGAGCCACCUCUCCUUUGUAGAUAUUUCUUCCUCCUCUUCCAUUGCACCCAAGAUGUUCUGUGAUAUCUUUGUGGAGAAAAAAAGGCAUCUCUUUCAUGGUUGUGCUGCACAGAUGUGGUUCUCUG
rnacentral:lncRNA from 1 species